rnacentral:rRNA from 1 species
GAUGAACGCUGGCGGCGUGCCUAAUACAUGCAAGUCGAGCGAACGGACGAGAAGCUUGCUUUUCUGAUGUCAGCGGCGGACGGGUGAGUAACACGUGGAUAACCUACCUAUAAGACUUGGAUAACUUCGGGAAACCGGAGCUAAUACCGGAUAAUAUUUUGAACCGCAUGGUUCAAAAGUGAAAGACGGUCUUGCUGUCACUUAUAGAUGGAUCCGCGCUGCAUUAGCUAGUUGGUAAGGUAACGGCUUACCAAGGCAACGAUGCAUAGCCGACCUGAGAGGGUGAUCGGCCACACUGGAACUGAGACACGGUCCAGACUCCUACGGGAGGCAGCAGUAGGGAAUCUUCCGCAAUGGGCGAAAGCCUGACGGAGCAACGCCGCGUGAGUGAUGAAGGUCUUCGGAUCGUAAAACUCUGUUAUUAGGGAAGAACAUAUGUGUAAGUAACUGUGCACAUCUUGACGGUACCUAAUCAGAAAGCCACGGCUAACUACGUG